UACGGAGGGUGCAAGCGUUAAUCGGAAUUACUGGGCGUAAAGCGCACGUAGGCGGAUACUUAAGUUAGGGGUGAAAUCCCGGGGCUCAACCCCGGAACUGCCUUUAAUACUGGGUAUCUCGAGUUCGAGAGAGGUGAGUGGAAUUCCGAGUGUAGAGGUGAAAUUCGUAGAUAUUCGGAGGAACACCAGUGGCGAAGGCGGCUCACUGGCUCGAUACUGACGCUGAGGUGCGAAAGCGUGGGGAGCAAACAGG
rnacentral:rRNA from 1 species